rnacentral:lncRNA from 1 species
UUAUUUAUUUAUCUAUCUAUUUAUUUAUUUAUUUAUGUUUGUGUAAAUCCCUUAUUUUAAAGCUCUCUGCAUGGUGUUUAACCUUGAACAGUGUGUAUGUUGCCUUAAGUACCCCAGAAUCAAGGUUGUCUAACAGCGAACUGUGCUUGGUAGAGCUGGUUGACAACCAGGAAGGGUUUCUGGGAGCCCAGGCAGUUUCUGAGUUAUCGUGUGCCAGCAGAGCAGACCUAUUCUGUGAUGUUGAAAAGGCCUCCCUUGUACAGUCUCACCACCAAAGAAGAGUGCCAGGCAACAAAAUAGAUAGUGGUGUCAAGUGCCCUGGAAGCAAUGUGUGCAGUACGGAGUUUUCCUGCACACAAGGGCAACCCAAUAAAAGGCUGCAUCUGAAAGGCAGUGGCAAGAAAGAGCUUAGAUGA